AUUCCAGCUCCAAUAGCGUAUAUUAAAGUUGUUGCAGUUAAAAAGCUCGUAGUUGGAUUUCUGGUUUGAUGCCCUGGCCCGCUUCAAAUUUUGGAGUGUGUGCCGGCUGUGCGUCUGCCAUCCUUCUAGAAAACGUUCGUACCCUUCACUGGGCCGCGUUCGAGAUCUAGAUCUUUUACUUUGAAAAAAUUAGAGUGUUUAAAGCAGGCAGUUGCUAUGAAUACAUUAGCAUGGAAUAAUAAUCUAGGACUUCGGUUCUAUUUUGUUGGUUUCUAGUACUGAAGUAAUGAUUAAUAGGGACAGUUGGGGGUAUUCGUAUUCAAUUGUCAGAGGUGAAAUUCUUGGAUUUAUAGAAGACGAACUACUGCGAAAGCAUUUACCAAGGAUGUUUUCAUUG
rnacentral:rRNA from 1 species